AACUUUGCACAGUGGCAGUAUCAUAGCCAAUAAGGUUUCUACAAGGUACAAUUAUUGCUAAUUGAUAACUUUACCCAAUCCCCUACCAUGAUCACUUGAAAUACAGUUGACAAUUUUUGACAGUCUGCAGAAACAAAAUAGA